GACGAACGCUGGCGGCGUGCUUAACACAUGCAAGUCGAACGGAAAGGCCCUGCUUUUGUGGGGUGCUCGAGUGGCGAACGGGUGAGUAACACGUGAGUAACCUGCCCUUGACUUUGGGAUAACUUCAGGAAACUGGGGCUAAUACCUGAUAGGAGCUCCUGCUGCAUGGUGGGGGUUGGAAAGUUUCGGCGGUUGGGGAUGGACUCCCGGCUUAUCAGCUUGUUGGUGGGGGAGUGGCUUACCAAGGCUUUGACGGGUAGCCGGCCUGAGAGGGUGACCGGCCCCAUUGGGACUGAGAUACGGCCCAGACUGCUACGGGGGGCAGCAGUGGGGAAUAUUGCACAAUGGGCGGAAGCCUGAUGCAGCAACGCCGCGUGCGGGAUGACGGCCUUCGGGUUGUAAACCGCUUUCGCCUGUGACGAAGCGUGAGUGACGGUAAUGGGUAAAGAAGCACCGGCUAACUACGUG
rnacentral:rRNA from 1 species